UGUCGCGGUCCCCGGCCGAUGACGCGGCGGCGCGCGGGGAUUCCCCGUGUUGUGGCUGCGGGAUGGGCGGUGGGCGCUGAUGGCGGCUCGCCGGGCAGCGCGGGGCUCCGAGCCGGGGCGCGGCGGCGUGGACGAGUUCACUGUCCCCGCCGAAAAGAGCCGCCUCCUCCAAGGAAACCGCGGCCGCAUCGAGGGCUUGUUCGCCGUGCGGCUCGACCUGCCGGGGCCGCCGGGACCGCCGCCCGCAGCCAGGGUCUGGGUGCAGCUGGAGGGCGGCGGCAGCGCCGUGCGCAGCGCCAAGGAGUUUAUUAAGGGACUCUGUGAACCUGAACUAGAAGAAAAAGAGUACUACCCGAAGGACAUGCACUGCAUCUUUGUUGGUGCACAGAGCCUGUUUCUCAACAGCCUUAUGCAGGAUACCUGUGCUGAUAUAACUGUGCUGGAGAUCGGAUUGCUCAGUAUCAAGGGAUGUGCAGAAGCUGUUGUUAUGGCUCAAAGUCGUGUUCAGCAGUUUGUGAAGCUUUUUGAGAAUAAUGAAAGCUUAUUAGGUGACAAUGAAUCGGAGAUUAAAAAGCAAUUCAGACAAUUUGUGGAAGCGCAUGCAGAUAAAUAUACAAUGGAUUUACUGAUUUUGCCUAGCUCGCUAAAAAGAGAACUCCUGGUUCUCGCACAGACUGAAUGUCAAGUGAAGAGCGAUAUCAUAGAUCUUACAGGUUCUGAAAGCCUGACGGAGCUUUUAGAGAACAAAGCCUCCAAAGUAAUUGCUACAAACAGAGAUGGAAGAGCAGGUGGUAAGGAAGCAAGAAAUAAUGCUGGGACACCUGUAACGGAGCUCACAAAGCAAAUGGACACUGUGUUUUCUGAUGGUCCUGAAACAAGUUUUGUUCCUAUAAAUGUUGUGCCUCUGGAGGCAGUGGUGCCUAAUGAAAGGCAGUCAUAUAAAAGAAGAUCCUCUGAUGAGGAGGAAAGGCUCCAUAAAAAGCAGUUCUCUUUGGAAAAUGAUCAGGAAGUGAAAUCUGCUUCGCACAGUAAUUCUUCAGACAGCAAUGCAGUUAUUGAUCUGCUUUCAUAUAGCUGCAAUGAAUCAAGUGGUUGCCUUAAAGAAGGUGAUGAUAUUAGUGAGGAAAUGGAAUAUAAGAUUCUUGUUAACUUUUUCAGAACAAUGGGAUAUUCCCAAAAUAUUGUAGAGAAAGUUAUUGGUAUCCUAGGACAGUCUGUGGAACCAUUAACGUUAUUAGAAGAAAUAGAAAAGGAAAAUUUAAAACUUCAAAAAGAACGUGAACAGUCAUCUCAAAAGCCUAGAACUAUCAAUCCUCCUCUAGGAGGUAAUGCAAAUAAUUCACAAAAGCUAGAAGACAAAGGUAUUUCUAGCAAAAAAAGUCCACUUAAAUCCAGUCAUACUUCAGAGGAGACAAAAAAUGAAUAUCACAAAAUAAGAGAUUCACCAAGCACACAAGUUGAUGCAGAAGACAAAAUGUAUAUGUUGGUAUGCACACCUGCUUCUUCCAGUGGCAAUUCAGCUAUGUGCUCUAAACAGAGAGACGUUUAUUGCACUGGAAGGAAUCGCAGUUCAAGCUCAAGUGAUGUAGAAACUGAUGGUGGUGUACCUUUUGGCACUAUAGAAGUUGGAGCAUUAAAAGAUGUUGAUUUUGUAGCCAGAGGGAGCUCAGAUGUGCAGUGUACCUCAACUAAGACUAAAUUUGCCGUUCGGCAAAAAUAUGCAGGACCUUCAACUGUAGAGGAUAGUCAUCCUGGUUUUGAGGACCUGUCAGGACACUGUAGCUCUUCUUCUCAAGUGACGUCUCUCAACCAGCACCUUUCGCAGCCUUCUAGGUCUGAAAAUCCUGUCCCAGGCCAGGCAUUAUCUUCACAAAUACAUCCCUCAAAUCCUGAUAAAGAGACAGUGGGACCACAUGGACAUCAUCUGGAUCCUUCAGUUACUGGAGUCCAAAGAUUUUUGGAAUCUCUGAAAAAACCCUACAGACUGGAGUUGAAAAAUGAACCUGGUAAACCAUAUUUAAAACAUAUCAUUAUUGAUGGAAGCAAUGUUGCAAUUUCUCAUGGUCUAAGGAAAUUCUUCUCCUGUCGAGGAAUUGCGUUAGCUGUUGACUACUUUUGGAAACGUGGCCACAGAAAUAUUACUGUAUUCGUUCCACAGUGGAGAACAAGACGUAAUCCUUCCAUUACAGAGCAGGAUUUCUUAACACAGCUCCAGGAUGUUGGAAUAUUGUCUUUAACACCUGCAAGGAUGGUCUUAGGAGAAAGAAUUGCUGCUCAUGAUGACAGGUUUUUAUUACAACUUGCUGAUAAAACUGGAGGUGUUAUUGUGACUAAUGAUAACUUCAGAGAAUUUGUGACAGAAUCGCUAGCCUGGAGAGAAAUUAUUCAAAAAAGGUUGCUCCAGUACACUUUUGCUGGUGAUAUAUUUAUGGUUCCUGAUGAUCCUUUGGGAAGAAAUGGACCUAGAUUAGAUGACUUCCUUCGAAGCGAAGGCCAUUCUAGAGAUUUUUGGUCAGCAAAAAAGGCUUUACAGAGCAGCAGACAACGUUCUUCUGAGACACCUGACCUCAUGCCAGUCCCCAAACCAACCAGUAGCAGUCAACAGCCUAAAAACAGAGUACAUAGCGACCGUUCAUCGACAUGGCUUCCACUGGAAACAAACAUACAGACUCAUCUAGCAAUUCCACCACAGAGAUCUGCCUCAGAAACAGUUCAGCUAAGAGAUGCCCUGAUAAAAAUUUUUCCUGAUUAUGAGCAAAAACAGAAGAUUGAUAAAAUACUAGCUGACAAUCCGUUCAUGAGAGACCUUAAUGCACUGUCUGCCAUGGUGCUUGACUGAAUAUUAUACAGGGGUUUUACAUCACAACUGAUUUGACUAAUUUUGAACAUAAAUGUGAAGAAAUGUUGCUGUGUGGUGUUAAUUUUGUGAACAUUGAGAACUUAAUUUUAUUUGUAUAAAUAAAGAUAAUUUUAUGUAUGUUCUGUUGCUAAUAGUUGCUAGGUUUUGGUUAAUUAAAACCUGCUGCUACUACAGAUUUGUAGUAAUAUUUUCUAUGAAAAAACUCUUCUGCUUCACUUGAAUUGCUUACUAAAGCAGUAGCAGUUCUAAAGAACUGUUAUCAGUUUAAAUAGUGUUAGCACUUUUUUAAAACCCCUUUCCUCAGAAGUGGCUUAAGUGACUCCUACAGCUUCAUUCAUAUUAUCCAGAUGUAUAAAUAACAUACUAUAAUAGAAGUCGUGCAUGUCUCUGAUAUUGUUCGUGUCUGUAUCUAGACUAUAGGUUCUCUUAAAAAACCUGUGCACUACUACUACCUCUUCACUUAAGAACUUUGAAAUAUAUCUCCAUGGAAAUAAAACAGCCCCUUCCAAUAUUUUCUGAUACAAAGACUUCUAUGUAGUGUAAAUCUGAACUUGCUUUCCUUAAGCCUGUAUCAUUUUGGAAACGGGCUAUACUCGUAAGGAUCUGUGGACAUCACUUUUGAACAUCACUGCAUGGGAGCAGUGUAUUGUUGAAGUCCUGUCACAAGGUGGCAAUAUGCAUCUGUUGGUUUGUAAUGAUCAACAGGAAGGCUUCUGACCUUCUGAAGUGCUCGUUUAAAGAAAGAUUAAAUGCAAGAUGUAACAGUAACUGUAAGAGUGUUAUGGAUAAGAUUUUAUAUUGUAUGGAUAACUUGGGGAAUACUAAGCAGCCUUCUCAUAGUAUGGGCAGCUAAGAAGCCUUGUACAUACAGGUAAAAUCAUAGUGCCCAGGGAAUGAAAACCCAUAAAACCUAUUUACCUGUUCAUCCAGGCUGAAAAAUACUAAGUUAUAGUAGAGGGAGGGUUUAAAUCAGGGAGUGUAAAUUCACAAGUCUUCUCAAUAGAAGGUAUUUGUAAUGCUUUAAAAGAUCUGUCACACCUUACUGGUUUCUAAACUGGAAAAUCUUCUGACCAUCAGUACUCCUUCAAAAUAAUUUUAGUAUCUUUAACAGUCUGCACCGUUACCUGUUUGACUUUGUCGUGCCUGUUCUAAAUCUGAAUGUUGUGAUAAGCUGCUAACAAAAUGUGGUGCUGUUUAUCUGGGAAUGGCAUACUGUCUUGUGUGGAGCUAAUAUGCAGCAGUUAACAGUCAGCUUCACCACUUUAAACCUGUUCUGGGAUCAAUCUCAAAUGUAAAGUGGGAAAAAAAGGAAGGUAAUUUGUGAAAGCUGAACAACAGGACCACUUUUAAGAGCAGGGUUAGAGUGAAGGUUACUGUGUGUCUGUGACUGUACACAAAGUCUCUUUAUACCUUCCUCUUAAGCAGUAUCUGAUGCUUAGUGUUCACAUUAGUAAAAAUUAAACUAAAGAAAAUGUGGCUGAAGAGCCCAUGUUAAACUUCGGAUGUACUAAGCCUUACCAUAAAGCAUAAGAGCAUAUUUCUCUCCAGUAGGAGUUUCCUGAAUUCUGAUAUAUCUGCUUAAAUGUAAAAGAGCUGGAAUACACUGAAGAAACGAGGGGGUUGUCUUACAUGGCCGUUUCACACUAAUAGUGAAGUCAGAAACAGAAGGCAAAGUCUUGCUCUUUCCUUAAUGGGAGCAAACUGGAAGAUGAUUGCAGCAAGAGCAAAAGAGAAGUAUUAGGAAUAGCUACUGGAGCAUCUCAAAAAUACAAGUAAGGACAAAGAAAGGUUUUGAAUAUGUUUCUACAUACAAAAAGACAAAUCUUUUUUUUUUUCUGUAUAAAUGAGUGGGCUACUCAUUAAUCAGGUGGGCAGAGUCAGUCUAACCAGCACGUUUGCCAAGAAGCGGUGCUUACCUGCCAGUUGCUAGGUGAGCACAAAAUUCUGUCCUUUAGGCAGGUUCCUAAAGCUGGUUGUCACCGACUGGAGUUGAUUUUAAUGAGUAGUAAAGGAGUGAACUAUGACCAGUGAAGGGCUUUUCCUGAGCAGAGAUAGGAUCCCAAGGAGGAAGUGCUGGUGAAUAAGAUAAUUCUUAGUUCUACACUGGAGUAAGACAUGGGAGCUGUGGGUCAGCAUCUUAAUUCCUAAUAAGCUCUUCUAGAGGCAGUCAGGAGAAUCAAGGCGCCAAGAGCAAUACGAUCUAUUCCAUGUCUUCUUAGUAUAUUGGUAUACUCAAAUCUGAAACCAGCUGUGCAGUACAGUAGUACAGAUAAAAAAAAUAUGGGGUUAGUUUUGUUUGUUGGUCACAAGAAGAUAAAAAUUGGAGCAUGACUCUGCAGGGCAGCAAAAGAUAGAUACCGCGUUGAUUACUAUCUAGUGUGGGAGACAUGGUGAAGUAUGUAAACUCUACUCUCUGGCAGUGGAUUAGGGAACUGUAUUAAUGCUAGUAUGUGCUGGUGUGCUGUUCGCUUCUUGCUAAACAUCCAGUUUGAAAGGAAUUAAAGAGGAAUGUAGCAUCAACUAUUACUUUUUCAUGAUGCAAGAAGCCAAGGUGGGAAUAGUAGCCAUCUAAAACCUGUAAUCUUGCCACCUUUUUGCACAUAAAGGGCAGACUUGACAAAUUCAUUUAUUUUGGUGGCAGAAGCAGGGCAUUAAAGCAAGCUGUCACAGCUAAAAUUCACAUAAAACAAUACAAAGUGAGGCCAAAGGCUUUUUGUUUUCUCUUUUUCUCCUUGUUUGGGUCCUGUUGUCCCUUCAGCUUUGAGUUUUAAACAGUGCAUCUCUGUUAGCAGGGAAGAUGACAAACAAAACCAAUAAGGUCUGAAUUUUCCCUGAGGGAAAGGGGUGGAGGAACACCCCGGGUGGCAUCUCAGCUGCGCUUAAAACAAAACUAUCAGUAUCUUUCGGUUUUGUUUUCACUUGUUCUUAGUUCCCUAUUAGCUUUCUUGCUGUAAGUAUGGCUGUUCAUAAAAUCCAUAAACAGCCUCUUUCAGUGCUCAAUAGAAAUAGCACUGAUGAAACACAGUAGCCUAGAAAGCUUUCUUGGACCCAACAGAACAAGAUUUUUGUUUGUUGGGUUUUUUUUUAUGUCAGAGAAAAUAUGCUUUCUCAUGCAAGAAAGUUGGUCUGUACUUCUCCUUUAUCAACUGUACAAAGUCCUCAGAGUGGAACGAGCAGAGGAAAAGGUCAAGUGUAACUCCUAAUGUGGCCAGAGUGUUCCUGAUCCCCAGAAUAAAAUGAGGUGGUAUGUAUCCCUAACAGAGCUUUCAAUUUAUUGGUAUUUCCCCUGAAACGGAAAGAUAAAGGAAUAUUUCUUUGACCUUGCUCAGGACUCUCCUGUUAUCUAGGAUAAGAUAUUCAUAAUUCCAGGUAUGUACAACUACUUUUACCUGAACAGAACAGUCCUGGGUUUACCUGUGAUAGUAAAAAAAUUGCCAAAGACCCAGCAAUAAGCCACAAAACCCCCAAAAAAUCCUGGCUAUAUGUAUAAUCUGGCUCCCUAGUAAACGAACAAAAUAUCAUAAUCACCUGAGUGCUUUCAAGUAGUUGUCUAUAUGGUAACUAAUGUGUAACUGUGGUCAAGUUCUGCUACGAUCCUUGUGUAAUAAACUGUGUAGUUUAGAUAUCCCAGGUGCUCUGGAUUUGUCAGAUCGGGACCAGCAGGAUCCAGCUCUAAGCAAUGAUCUUAGAGCUCUCUACUUUGUUUCCUGCAUUGCUCCUGAUUCCAGACAGCUCACAGUUCAAUUAUAUCAUUGCAUCCUGUGCUAGCAGAAGGAGCGUACAGUGAGUGACAUGGUUCUGCUGGAAAGUCCUGCACUGAUGGUGAGACUGAACGUGUCAUUCCUGCUGAACCUGAGCUAAUGCCAUGAAGUGUCACUCAUACAGUUUUUUCCCAGUGUGCCCCAAAAUGUAGUAUUUGGCUUUUUUUUCCUACCAGUGCCUUGUGUUUUCCAGGCACCUUUCCCACCAUCUUGGAAGACAGAGUUGACUGAACCUAAGGAAAAAAGCGUAUCAGUUUAAAAAUGUGAGAUAUACUGUUGUAUUGCUUGUAAAAUAUUAUUUCCUAAUGCUAUAUCGUAUGAAGAAAGAAAAAUGUGAGAAAUUGUCAAAAUGAUGUGAUACGGGGGAAAGCUGUUCUUCACUGUAAAAAGUUAACAUGAAAACCUUAAUAUGAGUAAGUAAAAAUCUCUAGGAAGAGGCUGUUAGAGAAUUGAACAGGUAUUUUUCUACAGUCACACAGGAGCACUACAUAGGUCUGUUCACAAGUUUGCUGAGGACAAGAGAGUGCUUAUGGUAAUGCACUGAGUAUGUGGAAAGUGCCCAUGUGUUCUUUUUGCCUGUGAAAAAAUACUGAUUAAUGAUAAGCUAACAAUGUAAUUCCGAAUCACCUUUUGUUUAACACAGAGAAUGAGCAUGCAGAGGGUCAAUUUGUAGCGCAUCUUUUACUACAUAACUCUCAUUCUUUUUAUAGACAGAUAACGAGACAAAGCUUAGAUUUGAACGGGUGGGAAAUGUGGAAGAAAAGGGCUUUAACCUGAGAAACUACAUAAUUGUCAAGGAGAGUAUCUUUUUUCUUAUCAACUAAAAUGUUCCACAGGGUGGCCGGCAUAAUCAUUCGCAUUUUUAGAGACACAGGGAAGAAUCACCCUGUGUAACUCUGCUCAGUAUGACAGAUGGAAAUGGUGACCAAGCUCCCAAGCCUCACUGCGGCAAUGAGCUCCUUGGUAGAUCCCUCCUCAUCCCACCACGGUGUCUAUCCUGCCUAAACAGAUGCACAGGGCUGAUGUGAAGAUUUUCCUCAGCUGGCUCCAUCAUCAUCCAGCUCUGCUGCUGUGGAAAAUGAUGCCUCGGAAGGUGUACGUCUUGUUUCAGCUCAGUUUUACAGGGAAACGGCCUUUUCUCUUGGCACUCGGUCAGACGGUAGCUAGAGGCUCCUUUAAGCUCCCUGGAGCCUUCGUGUGUGUAUGAACACGCUGCUUGAAGAACUUGUCUUCUUUCACGUAUGUGUCUCCUAGUCGUGCACGUUUGCUUCUUAGAUGCUGGUGUGACAAUCCACUUAUGUUAUAACGAGUGUUUCUUUCCCUAAGGUCUCCUCCUAAAGUCUGCUUUGUGCCGUUUAGUAUCUGGUGGGUGAAAAAAACACAGCUAGAAGCAACGUUCUGAGUGGAAAAUAACGGGGACCGUCCCUUAGGAGUGAGUGAGGUGACAUUCUCCUCUCCCUCCCUUUAACAUUUUAUAGAAAGUCUGUCUCCAGGAUAAAGCCCUGAGACUUUGACUCCGAUUCCUGGUGUGAAGACGAGUACAAGAUUUCUGAGAUAAAUUCAACACCAUGAAAGGAUUUUUUUUUCUCUAAGUUUUUAAGACUGUAAACUCCAGGGCCUUCCAGCAGUGAAACUCAGGAUGUUCAAAGAAUCUAUAGCUCCCCUGACUGCUCAGUGUUGUACAGACACAUUGGUGUGUAAUUCUAUGCGUACAGUGGAAAUCCUGCAGUGCUCAAAUGAAAGGGACAAACACCUGAUAAAAUAAAAAACAGAUGGAUUUUAGAUAUGUACUUUUUUUACCUGUGUAUAUGUAUGCACUUCUGUUUAGAAUGUCAUUCCAUUGUACUGUUGAAACUGCAGCUGUGCGUGACAAACUAAUUUUUGCUGUCUGCCUCAUGGCUAGUUAGAUUCUGUAAGAUUGCAUUAUAUCAUUCUAAAUGGCUAAUUCAAAGGAAGCAUUUUUUAAGAGGAAACUGGUUUUGAAUACAUUGGUUCCUCUUUUCAGUCUUCACUUGUGUACCUUUUUAACUCUUUCAGGGAUUAUACUUUCAAUGUAAAUAAAAAACCUAAAAUAUUACAUAUUUUUAAUAAAAAAAAUUAGAAACUGUGGUCCAAAGACAUCAGAGUUCUGCUGAAAUAUACCAAAUUAAGUUUUC